rnacentral:tRNA from 1 species
AGCAAGUUAAGUUAUUGUUAGACUGUCUGUUUUCAAAAUAGGAAGAGGCUUUGGGGUUGCUUGUUG